ensembl:lncRNA
AGGGGCAAAGGGAUGGCAACGCAAUGGUGCAAAGGCAAGCCCUGUGGCAGGCUGACCAGUGCUAUCUGGGUGGUCCUGGGUGGGAACUCUGUUUUCCAAAGUCAGUGUUUUGGCAAAGGACAGACAUGACGUGGAAAGGAAAGUUUUCACGAACUUAGGAAUCAGGUUCUUCAUACACGUGACAGUGGAGGCUCAUCACCGAUCAACUAGAGUUAGACUCUGCAUCUGCAUGUUUAAGAGUUAACUAACCCUGGAUCCUUGACAUACAAUCCAAACAUACUCGUGGAAAUUCAGCAUCUUUGCGAUAGGCACAGAAAGCCUUAGCCAAGGCAGUGAAUCUCACUGACAUUCAAAGAAUUAUGUCUGACAACUGGAUUUUGAGCAAUUAUUCUUCCUCCUUGUUGGAUGGGGCCUUGGACCCAACAGUAAAUAUUUGUGGCCUCAAGUUGAGUAGAGACACAAAUAUAGUGUAACCCUCUAAAUGCUUUGCUAACCCUCACCAAGGAGUCAAGACCUCGCCGAUCCCUUCAUCCCCCACCCUGUCAAAGCCCAAGGCCGGCAGGAGCCUGGGCUCCCACUGAGCCGCCUCCUUCAGGCCACAGAUCUGCGAUGGCCACAGCACCUCUGUCUUCUCAUGCUAGCUCCGUCCUCAGAGAGAUGCCAGCAGGAUGGUACAAGCUCUGCCAAGGAAGGUCUUGGGAAAGUCAAGCAUCAUCAUUAUUAAUUCCCCGCUGUUUGCCUGGGAUGGAAGCCACUGGAGCACCAAUGGAAGAGUCUUGACUCCAAUAAAUAAACACGUCCUUUGGGCAGAUGUCUGGACUGCUCCGGCUGCUGACUGAUGGCCCCUCGCCAUGACAGUGGGCGCACAGGGACAGCCCAAAGGCUCUGCCUCGUCACAACAAGCAGGCUGGAACCUGGGCCCGGUUUUAGGGCCAUCCCUUUGAAAUACACUGACAGCUUAAUGAAGUGAUAUUUAUGGAACCCAUGCCACUGGGAAGACGGCUGCUCCUUUUCUCCGUCUUCUAUUUUUAAUAUUUGAUCUGGCAAAUGCAUUAUUAAAGGAAUAUUUCAAAUCUGAUUACUCUUCUGUUUGACUGUGUGUUAUUCACGCACGCUGGGCGCCAGGGGAAAUUAUACCGACCAGUCUGGGAGCUUUACGAUGUUAUUCUUUCAAACAGCCCUCUGCUCCGAGUCUGAUUAAUUCACGUGAGAGGCUGUGGGCCCCCUCGCCUUAAUCACAGUGGCCUCCUCCUUUCCUCCCAGUCUCCCUCAAGGCCUGUUCCGGACUCUUCUCCUGGGGCUCAGGAACCUCCUCUCUGAGAAGCGGUCUCCCUGGAUAUCCACAAAGUCGUUCUGCUGUGGUUUUGGUUAAUCAUUGAAUUGUUAACUGAGCCUCAGUCUUCUUCAUAAGGCACAGAACAGUGGGCAGGAACUCGGAGUGUGCCCUGACACGGCCUCACCUGGGUUUGAACCCUGGGUCCAGCCACAGGCGUCAUGGUCACUUUCCUGCACGUCUCGUCUCUCCACUUUUCCCUUUGCAAGAGGCUAGCUCCACCUUGGAAGUCUCAAGCCACCUGAUAAAUCUACCCCUGGCUCGGCCUUUAGCAGGGAGCCAGAGAGAGCCUUUGAGCCCCACAGGGAAGAACAUUCAUGGGGUGGGUGCCGCGUGGCCCUGCCAUGCCACUGGGACUCAGGCAAGAGGCUUCGUCUCCAAAGGCAGAGGGGCACAGAGACGAGACUGUAGGCUCAGCUCUCGCUGACCCACUGAAGCCCGUGUCCUGGCUCUAAGACUCUCUGGGCCUCACAAAUCCCAGGGACUUUGGCC